AUCAAAAUGGCAGAGUAGUGCGUUAGAUUUAAGUUCUAAAUAUAGAUUAUUGGAGUCUUUUUGAUA
rnacentral:tRNA from 1 species